rnacentral:lncRNA from 1 species
GCACAACUGGAAAAAGUAGAACUUAGCCAUGAGACACGCUUUAUUAUUAACAAGGAAAUCAAAGAUCAAGCAACAUUGCAGAAGGUGAAGCAGCACCUCAGCAACCAGCAUCACAGUAUGAUAUAUUCAAGUGGUGGAGUGAGAAAGUAGAAAGAGAGAGAAGGGGAGAGAAAGAGGGAGAAAGAGGGAGGAUAGAAGCCAGAAUGA